rnacentral:rRNA from 1 species
GUAGGUGGCAAGCGUUGUCCGGAAUUAUUGGGCGUAAAGCGCGCGCAGGCGGUUCUUUAAGUCUGAUGUGAAAGCCCACGGCUCAACCGUGGAGGGUCAUUGGAAACUGGAGAACUUGAGUACAGAAGAGGAAAGCGGAAUUCCACGUGUAGCGGUGAAAUGCGUAGAGAUGUGGAGGAACACCAGUGGCGAAGGCGGCUUUCUGGUCUGUAACUGACGCUGAGGCGCGAAAGCGUGGGGGGAGCAAACAGGAUUAGAUACCCUGGUAGUCCACGCCGUAAACGAUGAGUGCUAAGUGUUAGGGGGUUUCCGCCCCUUAGUGCUGCAGCUAACGCAUUAAGCACUCCGCCUGGGGAGUACGGCCGCAAGGCUG